CCUCUUCCAACCGGGGCGGGGACGCCCUAUAUUGGUUUUGCCGGCGCAAGCCGGCUAUGGCGAUAAACGGACAUCGGAAUAAACUCUUCGGACCCGGGGGCAGUACCCGGCGCCUCCACCGGAAACCAUCGGCGACGUUGGUUUGCGGCGGGGGCGAAACAGGAUCGACGAGAGCGUAAAGGGUCUUCUUUCGCCCGGCAUGGUACCGCCGUCAUCGGACCGAACAUAUAGUUGCCAACGACAACUAUGCUCCGGUUGCUCAGGCCGCGUGAGCGGUUUGAUCUCUGGGAAAUAAGUCCAAACGGGUAGCACCGUGAGGCGGGGUUCGCAGGCACCUGGCAACAGAAGCCUGCACU
rnacentral:tmRNA from 1 species